rnacentral:rRNA from 1 species
CCUACGGGAGGCAGCAGUGGGGAAUAUUGCACAAUGGGGGAAACCCUGAUGCAGCGACGCCGCGUGAGGGAAGAAGGAAUUCGGUAUGUAAAGCUCUAUCAGCAGGGAAGAAAAUGACGGUACCUGAGGAAGAAGCCCCGGCUAACUACGUGCCAGCAGCCGCGGUAAUACGUAGGGGGCAAGCGUUAUCCGGAUUUACUGGGUGUAAAGGGAGCGUAGACGGCAGUGUAAGUCUGGGGUGAAAGGCUGGGGCUCAACCCCCGGACUGCUCUGGAAACUGUACGGCUGGAGUGCAGGAGAGGUAAGUGGAAUUCCUAGUGUAGCGGUGAAAUGCGUAGAUAUUAGGAGGAACACUAGUGGCGAAGGCGGCUUACUGGACUAUAACUGACGUUGAGGCUCGAAAGCGUGGGGAGCAAACAGGAUUAGAUACCCGAGUAGUC